ACGACUCUUGGCAACGGAUAUCUCGGCUCUCGCAUCGAUGAAGAACGUAGCGAAAUGCGAUACCUGGUGUGAAUUGCAGAAUCCCGCGAACCAUCGAGUCUUUGAACGCAAGUUGCGCCCGAGGCCACUCGGCCGAGGGCACGCCUGCCUGGGCGUCACGC
rnacentral:rRNA from 2 species